rnacentral:rRNA from 1 species
ACUCCUACGGGAGGCAGCAGUAGGGAAUCUUCCACAAUGGGCGCAAGCCUGAUGGAGCAACACCGCGUGAGUGAAGAAGGGUUUCGGCUCGUAAAGCUCUGUUGUUAAAGAAGAACACGUAUGAGAGUAACUGUUCAUACGUUGACGGUAUUUAACCAGAAAGUCACGGCUAACUACGUGCCAGCAGCCGCGGUAAUACGUAGGUGGCAAGCGUCAUCCGGAUUUAUUGGGGCGUAAAGAGAGUGCAGGCGGUUUUCUAAGUCUGAUGUGAAAGCCUUCGGCUUAACCGGAGAAGUGCAUCGGAAACUGGAUAACUUGAGUGCAGAAGAGGGUAGUGGAACUCCAUGUGUAGCGGUGGAAUGCGUAGAUAUAUGGAAGAACACCAGUGGCGAAGGCGGCUACCUGGUCUGCAACUGACGCUGAGACUCGAAAGCAUGGGUAGCGAACAGGAUUAGAUACCCUGGUAGGAUAGCG